CCAAACAGAUCUCUGCUGGCAUCUAGAAGGUUCGUGUGGAGAAGCAAGGAGCUGGAAUCACAGUAUGGGAAAAAUUAUGGGACAGUCUGGCCCGUGGUGUGUUUCCAUUUGGCCAGCUGCCUUUACAGCAUAGAAGAUGAAGAAGUGCAGAUUGAUGGAAGAGCUGAACUUCUUUUGGGAUGCAGCAGUCCAUGAGCCCUGGCAUUUUGUAUACUCAGAGCAAGGUCAAGCUCAGCAGUUUCCACCUUGGUGUUGUUACAUCACUGCAGCAGGGAUAAAAAAAAUGGAUAUCAUGUGGUUACCACAGCAGCUCUCUGGUUUUGCAGUGCUGCCACCCUUUCAUCACAUUUCACCUCUGCCACCUUCUUGUAACCAUCUCUUGGUCUCAAGAAGGUGCUGCACAUCAUCAUCUCUCCACACCAGACCACUUGACUGCAGGUUCCUACUGAGGAGGAAAACUGGAAGUUCAACAAGAACAAGUGAAAGAAGUACUGAAAAAAACAUCCUUGAUGUUGAAUAA
rnacentral:lncRNA from 1 species